rnacentral:rRNA from 1 species
GACGAACGCUGUCGGCGUGCUUAACACAUGCAAGUCGAACGGAAAGGCCCUGCUUUUGUGGGGUGCUCGAGUGGCGAACGGGUGAGUAACACGUGAGUAACCUGCCCUUGACUUUGGGAUAACUUCAGGAAACUGGGGCUAAUACCGGAUAGGAGCUCCUGCUGCAUGGUGGGGGUUGGAAAGUUUCGGCGGUUGGGGAUGGACUCGCGGCUUAUCAGCUUGUUGGUGGGGUAGUGGCUUACCAAGGCUUUGACGGGUAGCCGGCCUGAGAGGGUGACCGGCCACAUUGGGACUGAGAUACGGCCCAGACUCCUACGGGAGGCAGCAGUGGGGAAUAUUGCACAAUGGGCGGAAGCCUGAUGCAGCAACGCCGCGUGCGGGAUGACGGCCUUCGGGUUGUAAACCGCUUUCGCCUGUGACGAAGCGUGAGUGACGGUAAUGGGUAAAGAAGCACCGGCUAACUACGUGCCAGCAGCCGCGGUGAUACGUAGGGUGCGAGCGUUGUCCGGAUUUAUUGGGCGUAAAGGGCUCGUAGGUGGUUGAUCGCGUCGGAAGUGUAAUCUUGGGGCUUAACCCUGAGCGUGCUUUCGAUACGGGUUGACUUGAGGAAGGUAGGGGAGAAUGGAAUUCUUGGUGGAGCGGUGGAAUGCGCAGAUAUCAGGAGGAACACCAGUGGCGAAGGCGGUUCUCUGGGCCUUUCCUGACGCUGAGGAGCGAAAGCGUGGGGAGCGAACAGGCUUAGAUACCCUGGUAGUCCACGCUGUAAACGGUGGGUACUAGGUGUGGGGUCCAUUCCACGGGUUCCGUGCCGUAGCUAACGCUUUAAGUACCCCGCCUGGGGAGUACGGCCGCAAGGCUAAAACUCAAAGGAAUUGACGGGGCCCCGCACAAGCGGCGGAGCAUGCGGAUUAAUUCGAUGCAACGCGUAGAACCUUACCUGGGUUUGACAUGGAUCGGGAGUGCUCAGAGAUGGGUGUGCCUCUUUUGGGGUCGGUUCACAGGUGGUGCAUGCCUGUCGUCAGCUCGUGUCGUGAGAUGUUGGGUUAAGUCCCGCAACGAGCGCAACCCUUGUUCACUGUUGCCAGCACGUUAUGGUGGGGACUCAGUGGAGACCGCCGGGGUCAACUCGGAGGAAGGUGGGGAUGACGUCAAGUCCUCAUGCCCCUUAUGUCCAGGGCUUCACGCAUGCUACAAUGGCUGGUACAGAGAGUGGCGAGCCUGUGAGGGUGAGCGAAUCUCGGAAAGCCGGUCUCAGUUCGGAUUGGGGUCUGCAACUCGACCUCAUGAAGUCGGAGUCGCUAGUAAUCGCAGAUCAGCAACGCUGCGGUGAAUACGUUCCCGGGGCU